rnacentral:lncRNA from 1 species
GAUGCCCUGCAAUGCCUCAGGACUCUCCAGAAUGUUUUCACCAGCAAAAAGGCCCUCAGCAGAUGCAGCCUCUCGACCUUGAACUUUCUAGCCUCCAAAAUGAGACAUCAUUCUGGCUGCAUUAUGAAUGGAUGGUUUGGAGGAAGAAUGUGGAUAGCUAAACAAGAAGGAGAAUAGAAAGAAACUACUCUUAAGACUAUUGCAAUAUCCAGUGUUAUCUCAGGACCAAGGAAUUAAUGGUGCAAUGUGCUUUGUUUCUGACUGCAGACUAUAAUGUUUAUUCCUAUUGGGGGCAGAGCAAGAUUUCAGUUUCUUUUCUCAGCAACAAGAAAAUACUCUGUCUGAAAUCAAGCAACUUCUGGGAAGACCAAGAGUGAUGGAAACUAGAGUUACAAAGCAAAAACCCUACAUCCUGAAUGCCCAGCCCGGUCAAUGAAAUUUUUCUGUCUCAUUUAUCAGCUAACUUGGUCCUCUUCCCCUGGGAACAAAACUGAGAAGGGUUAAGAGAUAAUGUGGAAACAAACUCCCCAGCACUUGCCUAAGAGGGCAGCUGUGUACCCAGACCUUCUUUCCUCUAUGUCAUUGUACUAGAAAGAGAGAGUUCCAUACUCUUUAAUCUGAAUAGUUGGCACUCACUUAAAAAAGAAUGCAGCCUGAUUCCUCUCUGCCCCUCUAGCUAUUUCCAGAAAGUUGUUCAUGGGAUGAAUUGGUAAGUAAAGAAUUCAGACACUGGUUCUGAUUAAGGGAUCUUAUAAAUGAUUUAUAACCUUUGGGAACAUCAAAGACAGCACUCAUAAGCCAGGCAAGCUAAGGGGUGCUCAGGAGUAAAAUGCACCUCCCCAUCUCACAAAUCCAUUGUUUUGAUGAAAGGAUAAGAGGCAGUUGGCCUGGGAAGGUGAAAAGGCAGGAAAAGAGUGGGAAGUCAGCUCCUAGGAUAAUAACCACAUCCACAGGCAUUGUCUCCUUUCACAUAUUUACAGCUUUUCUUUCUUAUCUUUCCACACCUCUAUAUUCAGUUAUGUAUGACCUACUAGCAAUUUACAGCUGCUUUAAAUGCAUACAUUUCAGGUAGGGUGUGUUGACUUAUGCCUGUAAUCCCAGCGCUUCGGGAGGCUGAGGUGGGUGGAUCACUUGAGGUCAGGAGUUCAAGAUCAGCCUGGCCAACAUGGCAAAACCCCAUCUCUACUAAAAAUACAAAAAUUAGCCAGUCUUGGUGGUGCACAGCUGUAAUCCCAGCUACUCGGGGGGCUGAGGCAGGAGAAUGGCUUGAACCCAGGAGGCAGAGGUUGCAGUGAGGUGAGAUCACACCACUGUACUCCAGUCUGGGCAACAGAAAGAGACUCCAUCUCAAACAAACAAACAAACAAAUAAAUAAAUAAAUGCAUACAUUGUAUCAGAAAUUAUCUCCCAUAUUGAUGAGUCUUCCAUGGGCAUCUAAUUUAAAUAUUUUUUUCUGAAAAGCAAAAGGUGCUCUAUUAUGUUGCUGGUGAGAGUGCAAAAUGGUAUAGCCUCUAAAGAGAUUAAUGUAACAAUAACUGUUAGAACCAUAUAUGCAAUCACCCUUUGACCUAGCAACCUCACUUCUAGGAAUUCAUCUUGAAGACAUAUCUCUCUAUAUGUAGGCAAAAUGGAAGCUAUUCAAUGUUACAUUGUUAGUAAUAGCAAGUUACUGUCUAUUUUUGUAUCUUUCAAAUACAUGUCUAUUUAUGUGAAAGGAUAAACUGUGGUUUAUCCACAAAAUGAAUUUUUAUGAAGUUGUAAAAAAGAAUGAGUGACAUGUCCAUGAACUGUCAUGGAGUGAUUUCCAGAACGUAUUUUUAACUGAAAAAAAAAAAAAAUCAAAGUGCAGAAGGGUGUAUAUGCUAUGCUACAUGUGCAUAAGAAAGAAGGAGGAAUGAGAAUAGAUAUCACAAAUUUGCUUACUUUUGUGAAAACAAAAAACAAAUACGAAAGUAGAAAGGACAUAUAGAAACUAAUGAAAAUGGUUAUCCAUUGGGUAGAAAUGGGAAUGGGUGAAAAGCUAAAAUGUUUCACAUAUUAUUUGUAAUUUGAGUUAUGCAAAUGCUGUACAUAUUGAAACAAUAAAACUGAAUUAUUAAAAAUAAAACUAAGGUUAGAAAAGCAAACUCUAAAAUUGAAUAUGAAGAUAAAAAAUGAAUCUGACUUCAUAUUAAAUUGAAUAUAAAUUCAUAUUAAAUUGAAUAUUAAAUUGAAUAUUAAAUUCAUUAAAUUGAAUAUUAAACUGAAUAUUAAAUUCAUUAAAUUGAAUAUUCAUAUUAAAUUGAAUAUUAAAUAUAGCUAUGCAAGGAGAGGAAUUAAUUCACAUACUUUUGAAAACAUUUGUUUUAUCUUAAUAGGGUCCAUUAUAAAAGAAAAAAGAACUGUAAAGAAAUAUUAAGCUGUACAUAACAGUUUAUUGCAGGCUGUAAUAUUGUUUUAAUUCUGAAACUGUUUGAUUUAUAGUAUGUGAAAUAAGUAUAUUACUAAGAGGAACCAAGGGUUUCACUGUGAGAGAUAAAGAAAUAUAAAUAUAACAUUUGAAUAGCUAAAGAAGAAACCAUGUAAUAUCAAAUUUGAAUUAAAAAUAUCAGUGUGAGUUCUUUUUAAUGUCCUUUGUUGUUGUGCAUUGAGUACAAAACUUCUGUAAAUUAAUCUUGCCAGAAAUGUUUAACCUGAACCUAAGCAUGAGAAACCAGUUAGACACAUCCAACUUGUUGGAUAUUAUACAAGACAAGUGGUCUGUUCACUUCUAAAAAAAAGUCAAUAUCAUAAAAAGCAAAACUAAAAACCAAGGAGACUACUAUAAAUUAAAGGAAAUUAAAGAAAAAUAUACAAAAAUUUACUCAAAUGCAUCAUAGAACUAAACAUAAAACUUAAAAUUAUAAGACUUUUAUAAAAAUACAGGAGAAAUUAUUUGUAACCUUUGGCUAGGAUUUCUUAGAUAUGACAUUGAAAGCAUAACCUUUAAAAGAAAAUGUUUGUAAAUUCUACUUUAUUGAAAUUAAAAAUUUCUACUAUUCAAAAGACAAUAUUACAAAAAUGAAAAUGAAAACACGAGCCAUAGAAGGGAGGAAAUAUUUACAAAACACAUAUUUGAUAAGACUUGUGUCUAUAAUAAGACGUCAAUAAUAAGAAAACAAUUUUUUUUUUUUUUGGAAGAGGUCUCUCACUUUGUGGCCCAGGCUGGAGUGCACUGGCGUUAUCAUGGCUCACUGCUGUCUUGACCUCCUCGGCUCAAGCAAUCCUCCCACUUCAGCCUCCCAAGUAGUUGGGACUACAUCACCAUGCCUGGCUAAUUUUGUUGUUGUUGUCGUUGUUUUUGUAGAGAUGGAGUUUUACCAUAUUGCCCAGGCUAGUCUUAAACUCCUGGACUCAAGUGAUCUGCCUGCCUCGGCCUCCCAAAAUGCUGGGAUUACAGGCAUGAGCAACCACACCUGGCCAACAGUAUUUUUAAGUGAGGAAAAAAUAGAAGAUUCCUAUUGUCAAACAUUUGGAAAUCACAGACAUAAUUCACCCAUAAUACAGUUAAUUACUUUUAAAUAAAAAUGUAAAGGGCGAGUCUUCCAGAUUUUCAAUGAAUACAUAUAUUAUUUAUAUUUUAAUUUAUAUUAUCUUACAAUUUGCUUUCUAUUUAUUCAACAGUAAUAUACAAUAUUGAACAUUUUUCUAUAUCCUUUGAUAUCUGCAAGCCUGAUUUUCAGUAGCUGGAAAUGGAAAGGCCAAAUUUAUUAUCUAAUUUUAUACAUUAGGACAUGUGUAUAAUGUCCAAUUUUAUACUGUUAUAAGUCACACUAUGAUGAACAUUUUUGUACAUAACUAACCAUAUUUCAGUUCAUUUCUUUAGGUUAUUAUAUAUCCACAGAUAUGACAUUCAAUUCUAUAAAAAUUAUGUACAUUUUAAUUUAUUUUAUUUUUGUACAUGGGAAGCUCCUAUCUUAACUCAUUAAAUUCAAUAAAUUUUGUAUUUCUACAACAGAAAGCCAACAAAGGGAGUUGUUAGUACAUAUUUCCAGGAAUGAAGUUGUCUGGAUGCAGCUAAUGCCUCCAUAGAACUGACAGUGCUGAAUUUACGAAAUGGAAAGAGUUCUGGAAAAGCAAGAAAAAAAGUCUUGUUUGAAACCCCACGUCUACUGUAGGCACAGAAGGGAAUGGAGGCAUCUGAGCAUUUUAUUUUCCAUCUCUACAGCACCUCAGAACACCUACAUUUUAUUUUUUUUCUUCUCAGAAAUGUCUUAAUAAGAGGACUGCAGUGUACUCAAGUUUCCCAAUGACAGGGUAGGGAUGCCAACCUUCUCUUUCAUUGGCAGCUCAUAGUAUCCAAGUUUCUCAAAACCCUAAGCCAUCUUAUUUGUUCUUUGGAACUUUGUGGCCUACCACAGUGCAAUUCUCAUUCGGUGUUUAAUAAAAUAUUUGUUAGCUCUUUUCUAAUUGAGAAGGUUCUGUUCUUUUCGCCUCAAGAAAUCACUUAGAAUACAAAUAGCAGUGCACAAUAAUUAGAUUUCAUUGAAUGUAAUUGAUUUGAAUGUUCAUGAAACAGUGCCUCCAGUAUGUUUUGUUUCACUUAAACUUUGAUGACACUUGAGAAGUUGCCUUGCCUUACCUAUCUGCCACCCCACCACUCCUCAGCAUCCGAUAGGCUGCUGUUCCUGUGCCAUCACUGUUGUUUGUCUGAAAGCCUUUUAAUUCGCUGUGGGUGAAGUUGAAUAGGAGUGCUCAGAUCUUCUAGCUCUACCACCUCACAUGUUAGUAGUUAAGGGAACCAUCUCCUUAGGUCAACAAUAAAGAAUAAUUAAAUUCAAUUUUUUUCCCUUGAUGAGAACCACUAAAAUGUCCUUUUGCAUCAGAGCCCUAGCACUACCCUUUUCUCCCAUUUCUUCUCAAGCAAUCUGAAAGCAAUCUUUAUUUAUAGUAAGAAAUGAAAGAGGAGAGUUUAACAAGCCAGAGUUGGGAAAGUUUGCUGAGGUCAAUGCCACUGAAGCAAUGUGCAUUUGCUCUUUGAAACAAAAAAUUUUAAUUUGAUAUUGAAAUAUGUUCAUAGAAUUCUUUGGCCACAUGUCUGAUUUGAUCGAGGUAGAGUAAAUGGGUUUGUAUUGUAUUCUAACUAGUAUCUUGAUAUAUCAAUGAAGCAAAUUAUGAGCCUGCCUCUCAGGCAGGUUGGACUCCAAAUUUCCUUUGUAUCUUUCUAUACUAUUCUCAUCCACUGGCACAAGCAUAACUCUCAAAAACUGUAGAGAAUUGCUUACCCAUGGCUACUGCCAACCUAUGGAAAAAUCCUCUGCGCUGUUUCAAAAUAUCCCAGCAACUUGCUGUCUGGAAACAAUUAGAGGCUGGUGAGGAGGAGUAUCUGCAGCCCUUCUUUUCAACACUCUCUCCCUUUAUCUCUUUUGAGUUAGAGGCAGUACAGUCCAUGAACACACGGAGGAAAAGAAGGUCCUUUGCAGAAAAACAAUAGGCCCAAGGCCCACUUUGUGAGAGUUUGGGGUGAAAAAGAAACUUCUCUGUCUACCCAACAUCAUCCUUAACCUUUUACAUGGAAAAUUUGUAAAAUGAGCACUGGGGACAAUUAUAAUUGAGAAACAUAAAAAUGGUGUCCCAGGAUGGCAAAGCUGAACAGAAGAACAGAUAGAGCAAGGUCUGGAAUGAAAAAACCAGCCUUGCUUUUCAUGCCUGAGUUUCCACCUGGUGAAGGAAAAUGGGUUGAUUGCAUCAACUAUUUUUUUUAAUUUUUAAUUUUUGUAGGUACAUAUUAGGUGGGAAUUCACUAAAUGUUUAUAUCAGUGAGCUACCUCCUCUCUGUGUCACUGCCUUGUUUCUCAAAUUAUGAUCAUGCAUCACCUGCAUUAGCAUUACCUGAGGAUCCUAAAAUAAUUGCAGCGAUCUAGGUGGAGGCCAGGGAUCUACAUAGUUAAUUAUCCUCAGAUGAUUUUGUUUUUACAAUGUGUAAGGUCUAAUGUAAGAGUGCCUGUGGUAGCAAAAAAAAAAAACCCUGAAGAGAGGUGUAUUAGUCCAUUCUCACACUGCUAUAACAAACUACCUGAGACUGGGCAAUUUAUGAAGAAAAUAGGUUUAAUUCAUCAAAAGCAAUUGCAACAAAAGCAAAAAUUGACAAAUGAGAUCGAAUUAAACUAAAGAGCUUCUCCACAGCGAAAGAAACUAUCAUCAGAGUGAAUAGACAACCUUCAGAAUGGGAGAAAAUUUUUGCAAUCUAUCCAUCUGACAAAGGCCUAAUAUUCAGAAUCUACAAGGAACUUAAACGGAUUUACAAGAAAAAAACAAACAACCUUAUCAAAAAGUGGGCAAAGGAUAUGAACAGAUACUUCUCAAAAGAAGACAUUUGUGUGGCCAACAAACUUAUGAAAAAAAGCUCAACAUCAUUGAUCAUUAGAGAAAUGCAAAUCAAAACCACAAUGUGAUACCAUCUCACACCAGUCAGAAAGGCGAUUAUUAAACAGUCAUGAAUCAAUAGAUGCUGGCGAGGCUGUGGAGAAAUAGAAACACUUUUACACUGUUGGUGGGAGUGUAAAUUAAUUCAACCAUUAUGUAAGACAGUGUGGUGAUUCCUCAAAGACCUAAAGACCUAAUACCAUUCCACCCAGCAAUCUUAUUACUGGGUAUAUACCCAAAGGAAUGUAAAUCAUUCUAUUAUAAAGAUACAUGCAUGUGUAUAUUUAUUGCAGCUAUAUUCACAAUAGCAAAUACAUGGAAUCAACUCAAAUGCCCAUCAGUGAUAGACUGGAUAAAGAAAAUGUGGUACAUAUACACCAUGGAAUACUAUGCAGCCAAAAAAAAUGAGAUCAUGUCUUUUUCAGGGACAUGGAUGAAGCCUGAAGCCAUUAUUCUCAGCAGACUAACACAGGAACAGAAAACCAAACAUUGCAUUUUCUCACUUAUAAAUGGGAGCUGAACAAUGAGAACACAUGGACACAGGGAGGGGAACAACACACACUGGGGGCUGUCAGGGGGGUAGAGGGAGGAAAAGCAUCACAAUAAAUAGCUAAUGCUUGUAGGGCUUAAUACCUAGGUGAUGGGUUGAUAGGUGCAGGAAACCACCAUGGCAAACAUUUACCUAUGCAUCUUGCAC